AGGACAGCAAUUGGGACAACUUCCUGGCAGUCAACAUUAUGAAAAAGAAUCAAGUUAAAUGGGACCAGAUCACACUGUGCAUUAAGGAAAACAGGUGGCUGGCCAUUUGUGGGAUGUGAAAGGGAUGGCUCCAGCCUGACAUCUCUGGAUCUAUCAUGGACAUUUGUUCCCCAUCACCGUACCACCCCACCUUGCUGACAUCACAAGGCUCAAUGUAAAGGUCACUUCUUCAGGGAAACAUUUCUCCUCCCUUCCCCCAGCUUCCCUGCCAUCUUAGACAAAGUCUUCACUUUUCCUUUACAGCAGUUAUUGCCAUGGUAAUUCAAUAAUUAUUUGUAGAAUUCUUGGUUUACUGCCUGUCUCUUUUCCUGGACUAGGAAGCACUUUGGUGUAAUGACUAGCAGAACAGAUUCUGGCUGUUCCGGAUCCAAGCAGAUUCGAGGCUGCUUGGUUCAGCCCCGGCUCUAUCAUUUAUAGUUUACCGUUUACCAUGGCUCACUUACCAUCUUCUGGCCACAGUUGCCUCAUCAGUAAAACGGAGACAGUGAGAAUCUAUACUAUGUAGGGUUGCAAGUAUUGACCAACAUACAAGAUGUAAGAUACAAGGUGCAGAGCCUGCGAUAUAGUAAGUCUUCAAUGAAUAGAUCAUCUUCAAUGACUACAUGUAUAAGGGGAGUGGGAGAAAGCAGAGGCACCCCUGGUUCCUGGGCUGUUGGACUUGAAUCGGGACUUAGGCAAUAGUCUCCCCUGUUUCCAGGCCUCGGAUGUGGACUAGAACUACACCACCAGCUUUUAUAGGCCUACAGUUUACAGACGGCGGAUUGUGGGACUUCUCAGCCUUCAGAAUGGUUGAUGAGCCUGCCUGCGCGAGCGUAAUCCCUCUCCCGGGCUCCAGGAGAUUGCCAGGCAGCCAGCCACCACCCGCCCUCCACCAAGGCUGCAUUAGGCUGAUGGCAAGAGGAGAACUACACAUUCAUGAUUCUGCCACAUUGCCUGCCUACUGCUCCGCCAACUCUAAGACCCUUCUCUCUCCUCC